GGACACAUACCACAUGCAUGUAAUCCUUAGGUCAAGUCUAACCUUUGUUAGGACUGAGACUUUCCUAGGAAAACAACUCUGGAUCUAUUAAAAUGCUAUAAAAUCAGAAAGGAUGACGUUGGCAUGUAAAAAUGUAAGGACAACAAUUAAGACAGUAGAGGCUCAUCAACUGAGUUUUUUCCAGAGAGGGGACCUUGUGAGGUUGACGUUGGAAUAUGAUUACAAUCUGAUGGAGACAUCUCCAGUUUAAGAUGCCAAACGGAACAUAUCAUUGCCUAUGGAAAUUCCAUUAAACUGAUGGUAAAGGAGGAAAAGGAUACAGGCAUGACAUGAAGAGACUGGAGAAGUAUCAUCAAUAGAUAAAGCAGAACAGAAAUAGCAACUGCCUGGACUACACCCAGAAAGGAAUAAUUUUGCUUGGCAGAAGCAUGAAACAGUUCCAUAUUUGAGAUGGCAUUUACCACUGAGGACUGUAUAUUCCUUGAGGACAAGAUCCGCACUUGAUUUGUCUUUAAAUAUACUCCUGCUGAAUGAUUUAAUUAAGAAUCUCUGUAUUAUGGAGUGGCAUCGCACCACAAAAUUCUGCCCAUAAAAGGUGAGUCAAAAAUCUUCAAAGGCGGCAGCACACUCUGAUGUGCAGAACAAGAAGUUGUCACAGCAGAUAGCAGGUGCUAGAAAUCCUGAUACUCGCUCUGGGUGGUGUAGACUUCCUACUGGAGGACACAGAGAAAGCCAGAUGCAAGUCUGACAUGGCUAAUUGGGAGGUGUGUGGUCCUCUUGGAGCCUUUUCUUGAGAUGUGACAGAGUGCCUGCCAAGACUAAUCAAACCCAACUGCUACCCACUUCUGCUGAAUCAUAUGGGGCUGCAUUGCAGCAUCUGAAGGAACCUGGGAUUUAUCUCUCAUGAUGUUGAAGCCCUAGAUAGGAAAUGGAAAGUCUGGGAACACAGGUGGUGUUUUCAUUUCUCUCUGCAUUCGAAGGCUAUAACUUUGGAAAGGACGGAGGAAGGGAAAUGAAAGUAAAUGGUGUUAGAGAACAGGAUGUAUCUUUUCUAGAUCAAGGGUAACAAUACCUUCUUAUUGGGCCAGACACAGGAUUCAGCUUAUGCAGACUUACCGGGACAGAGGUGCUCUGACUCAGUCAAAAAUAAUUAAAGCUAAAAUUAAUUAUUAAAAAAAUGGUAUAGUAAACAAUUAUGACACAGAUGAAACAAUUAGUAGAUGAGUUCCUAGUAAUUCUAAGGAAAA